rnacentral:rRNA from 1 species
ACGGCCAUACCAUGCUGAAUAUACCGGUUCUCGUUAGAUCACCGAAGUCAAACAUCAUUGGGCGCGGUCAGUACUUGGGUGGGUGACUACCUGGGAACACCGCGUGCCGUU